rnacentral:rRNA from 1 species
UACGGGAGGCAGCAGUGGGGAAUAUUGCACAAUGGGCGAAAGCCUGAUGCAGCUAUGCCGCGUGUAUGAAGAAGGCCUUAGGGUUGUAAAGUACUUUCAUCGGGGAGGAAAAAACAAAACUAAUAAUUUUAUUUCUUGACGUUACCCGAAAAAGAAGCACCGGCUAACUCCGUGCCAGCAGCCGCGGUAAUACGGAGGGUGCUAGCGUUAAUCAGAAUUACUGGGCGUAAAGAGCACGUAGGUGGUUUUUUUAAAGUCAGAUGUGAAAUCCCCUGGGCUUAACCUAGGAAACUGCAUUUUGAAACUGAAAUACUAGAGUAUCGUAGAGGGAGGUAGAAUUCUAGGUGUAGCGGUGAAAUGCGUAGAUAUCUGGAGGAAUACCUGUGGCGAAAGCGGCCUCCUAAACGAAUACUGACACUGAGGUGCGAAAGCGUGGGGAGCAAACAGGGAUUAGAUACC